rnacentral:rRNA from 1 species
CCCUUAGAUGUUCUGGGCCGCACGCGCGCUACACUGACGAAGUCAGCGAGCAUGUCCUACGCCGACAGGUGCGGGGAAUCUUGUCAAACUUCGUCGUGAUGGGGAUUGAUUAUUGAAAUUCUUGAUCAUCAACGAGGAAUUCCUAGUAAGCGCAAGUCAGCAGCUUGCGUUGAUUACGGCCCUGCCCUUUGUACACACCGCCCGUCGCUACUACCGAUUGAAUGGUUUAGUGAGAUCUUCGGAUUGGCGCCACUGCGGCUCAGCAAUGGGCUCGGUGGAUGCCGAAAAGUUGAUCAAACUUGAUCAUUUAGAGGAAGUAAAAGUCGUAACA